AGUGAACGCUGGCGGUAGGCCUAACACAUGCAAGUCGAACGGCAGCACAGUAAGAGCUUGCUCUUACGGGUGGCGAGUGGCGGACGGGUGAGGAAUACAUCGGAAUCUACUUUUUCGUGGGGGAUAACGUAGGGAAACUUACGCUAAUACCGCAUACGACCUACGGGUGAAAUCAGGGGAUCUUCGGACCUUGCGCGAUUGAAUGAGCCGAUGUCGGAUUAGCUAGUUGGCGGGGUAAAGGCCCACCAAGGCGACGAUCCGUAGCUGGUCUGAGAGGAUGAUCAGCCACACUGGAACUGAGACACGGUCCAGACUCCUACGGGAGGCAGCAGUGGGGAAUAUUGGACAAUGGGCGCAAGCCUGAUCCAGCCAUACCGCGUGGGUGAAGAAGGCCUUCGGGUUGUAAAGCCCUUUUGUUGGGAAAGAAAAGCAGCAGGUUAAUACCCCGCUGUUCUGACGGUACCCAAAGAAUAAGCACCGGCUAACUUCGUG
rnacentral:rRNA from 1 species